CACAGGCAGCUCUAGUGGUAGCAGUUUUUAUUGGGCCUAAAGCGUCCGUAGCCGGUUUAAUAAGUCUCUGGUGAAAUCCUGUAGCUUAACUGUGGGAAUAGCUGGAGAUACUAUUAGACUUGAGACCGGGAGAGGUUAGAGGUACUCCCAGGGUAGAGGUGAAAUUCUGUAAUCCUGGGAGGACCGCCUGUUGCGAAGGCGUCUAACUGGAACGGUUCUGACGGUGAGGGACGAAAGUUAGGGGCGCGAACCGGAUUAGAUACCCGGGUAGUCCUAACUGUAAACGAUGCGGACUUGGUGUUGGGGUGGCUUUGAGCUGCUCCAGUGCCGAAGGGAAGCUGUUAAGUCCGCCGCCUGGGAAGUACGGUCGCAAGACUGAAACUUAA
rnacentral:rRNA from 1 species